GUAAACUAGUAGAAAAACGUUUUUUAGCUCAUGAAUCCUCUUCGGGCCAAGCUCAGAAGCUGGUGCCAUUGGUCAGCCUCCCUUCGUGGUUGGAGUUCUUCUCCCACAUCAGCUUCUGCCAGGGCAUGUGCCUGUGCAGCCUGAGUCCAGUGUUCCUGUGAGCUGAACUUGGCAGGGAAGGCUGCUCUGAGGCGGACACCACAGCAACAUCGGUGCCUGGGGAACUUCAGAUCCAAGGGCACCUGAAGACCUGGUUCCCACAUGGCUCCCUUCUCCUGUAACCCACCACGAUGUGGGCGGCCUCGAAGAAGGCCCACAAGCAACAUACCGAGUGCUCCAGGGAAGCGAGAGCACACACCGGCAGGAUUCACAAUCAAGACAAGGUGAUGAUGGACAGGCAUGCACACAUGAGCACGUGGAGCACACAGUGUGUUUGGCUGCAGGAGAAGAAUCCAGUUUUCAGCAGGUGAAUGCAGAGAAGCCCUGCUGCUCAGGACAAAGAAUGUUUCCAGAAUGAACCAUGUUUGCAGCUCUCCAUUGCCCAGGAUGAGCGGCGUCCCCAGGUGCCUGGCCCUUUUAUCACCCAGGCUGAUGGUACAUCCAGAGGCAGCCAUGGCUCAGCCCCCAAGCAAGGCCAGCAAUGGCCAGGAAGAAGCUUAUUCAAUGGGACUCUCUGCAGAGUUUUUCUGACUUUCAGCUUGCAGGGAUGUGGGCAUAGAAAACAAGAGGCUGACUUCUCAAUCAAUCGUCACUUAAGGAUGCAGAGCCAGUGGAAGCCCUUUCUUUCAUGACUUUUAGCAUUUUUUCUUCAUUUUCAGAAAAUCCACACCAUCUCCAUAUAUGCAUGCACGCAUGAGUGUCCGUCCGCCCCCUAACUGUGGGGUUAAGAAUAAUGUGACUGCUCAUGCUGGAAAAACAAGACAAUUACCAUCAUAAAAGCCCACAUCAUUUACAG
rnacentral:lncRNA from 1 species